UGCUAAUGAAAGUGUAAGGCUGAGCCCAAUAAAUGGUUUGCUAAAAAUGCUUACCUGGUAACAGGUGUGGCCAUUAGCUUUCUGUGUAUUCACUAUAAUCAUUUUAUUGAUAUACAUAUAGAAUGCCUUAUUGGAAACACUUGCUAGAAUAUUUGACCUCUCAGAGGUUGUAGAACGUUUUUUAGUCAUCAAUAGUUGCAAUGUAAAUUAGAAAAGCAUAAAAUUAAAACAUGUAAAUGCUUUUAGUUCCUGAAAAUUUGAAUUUUUUUUUUUUUUUUUUUUUUUUAGUUUUUGAGGUUGAUUUCCUGGUACUUAUACUGUUUUCUUAUCCUUUAUUGCUGUGAAUGUAAGGGAUGGAAUAAACAUAAGGGAGUUGGAUAGAUCAGUAAAAACAUUAACUUAAAUAAAACCAUUUAUUUCUCACUCACGUAGUAGUGUUUCAUGAAUUUUAUGUGCUAAGUUCUUUCAAAAAAACCCCAAUAUACUAAAAUUUAGGAAAUGCGAAUUGCAGAUGAGGCUGUCAUCAUCAUAAUUCCUGCUGUUCAAGAAAAAUUACAUCGAAGUUGGAAAAUAAUUAUAUUUUGUUACAUUCAAUGAUCGCAAUCCUAGUAGAUUGUGUGGUAGGUAUCUGUAGAUAUCUGUAUAUAACCCUAUAUAUAAUCCUAUAUAGAUAUCUACAGAAAUAUGUAUUUGGUCAUUUGCAGCUGUGAGAUGGGAUAUUUGCUCUUUAAAAUCUUUAAAACACAUUAAGUCUAUUGGUGAUUCGGCUGAGACAUCUACAAAUGCACAUAUGUAAAUGGGUCUGCAGCAUGUAUCAGGCAUCGCAUUAUUUAACAGGUUUGAAAAUUCAUUGUUCACACUAAACUCCGUAGGUGUUAACAGUUUAGUUGAUAUUUUUAGUUCAAUUGGCCAGUAUGUAUCCUCUUCAUGGCUCUUCCACAGGAGAAUUUUUUUUUUUUCUAAUUUAAACACAAGUACAUUUUCGUUGUUUACCGUUUGUGGAGUAUAUAUAGUUUUUUCAAAUAGGCACACUAGAGAGUGUACAAUGUGGUGUAUUUUUGUCAAUAUUUGGAAAUAUUUAUAGACAGAGCAGAAAGCAUAACAAAUAAAACCAAAGACACUCCCACUAUUAUGUAAACUUGAUAAGAAAACAGGCUUUUCAAUUUCGUUUAUAUCUAGCAACUUAAAAAGGGGGUUGGCAUACAGUAGGUACUUAAUAGGUAUCUGUUGAAGGGGAAAGAAAGACAUGACAUCCUCUGCUUUAUGAAAUAGUUGGGGUCUGAUGGGCUGUUCUUAGUGCUGGCACCUGAUGAUGCCUUAUCAAGGGACCCCAUGCCGUUUAGCAAAAAAAAAUCUGUUUCAGCCCCCUGUGUUCUUUUUCAAGGAAAUUAUUGAGGAUUUAAAAGUCUGACCACAUUGGAACAAAGAUUUAAUGAUAAACUUUUAGAUAUAGUGUCAAGAGAAUGAGCAAGAUCAUUUGAACUAGCAGCAUGACCUUCCAAAUGACAUAAUACCACUUGAUGUAACUACUUGUGCCCUAUAUUAACCUGUGAUUAGAAUAAAUACUCUCAAAUGUUCUAGGAUAAAAAGUUAAUUUUUUUUUCUCACUGAAAGCUUGACAAUGAACUUGAGACAUGUAAAUAUCUGAGUGAAUAAGAAGGUAGACUUAUGCAGCCCUGGCAGGUUUCUCUCUCUUUGGAAUCUCCGUACAUCAUGGAGAAAGAGAAAGCAAGGAACAAAUGUAUGGCCGUGAUACCUGCUUUUGGAAAGUUCUAGUUAUAGCUUUGAGCACAGCAGGUAGAAUAUGGCUACUGGUUAAGAAAACCUGGUAAUAUCCGAUCGUGAGUUUCCACUGGAUCCAUCUCUCGUCAUUAAAUGCCAGAUGCCCUGUGGAACAGGUCAAGGAUUUCCAAGAGAUGCUAGAACAGAUGUGUGAGAACACAGUUGGAAGAGAUAAAACCUUAUUUUCAAAGAUAACAUCCAUAUCAGAUCAAAGGUUGUUCCCAUACAGAGAAUUUGGGAAUCUACAUGUUGUAAAUCUUAGCUAAUGACUGACCAUGAGUACAUAAAAGAUAUUUUAAUAAUGACAAAAUUAGGAUAAUAAGACCAUCUAUUUCACAGAAUUACUCUGAGUAUCAAUUAAGCUAAUUAAGUUAAAUAACACAGACCACAGAGUCUCCAUCCCAGUCUGUCUCAAUCUUAAGAGCAUUAUAUGACCCAGUUCCAAGUUCUACUAUCUAAGAAGGGAUUGAUGUCCAGGAUCUUAACUUGGGGCACGCAGUUAAAAGAGGCCUUUCCUACAUCUUGGCACCUCAGCGAAUCUCAUAUUCCUAGGGAAGAUAGAUGAAAGUUAUGUUUGUAGAGUCGAAAUUAUCAACAGCUCACCAAAGUCACCAGCGGUUACCAUUAGGCAAUUAAAUGUGUAUUCACUUCCCACAUCGUCUGAGAGUCUUCAGAAGGCCCUGAGACAUUAGGAUAAACCAAGAAGGACACAUACAAGUUUUGGAAAUAAUCAGCUAUCAAAGAAGCUGUUAAAAGAGCUAUACAAAAGAAAUACGUAGAAUGCUUUCUGAGAACACAGCAGAGAAUAUUAGCUUCUGCCCAGGGAAAGAAGUAGGGUCAGGAGACGCUUACACGUUUCAAAAACAGUAAGUGUUCUACAAAGACUAAGGAAUAACAGUUUCAGGGGUUUGGUCCUUUGGGAAGGUUCGGGUAAGACAUUAUUGUUAUAGCGUAGUAGCAUAUUUUGGGGGACAAUGGCAAAGAACAGAGCUGAAAAGAUGAGCACGGUCUGACAUCUGAGGGUCUUUUGUGCCAAGCUAGGGGUUAGCCUUAUUGUGUUCUAAAUCAUAAAUAGUCUUAAAGAAUUUGGAGCAGAGGACGACUAGGAUUGGAUCUGGAUUUUGUAAAGAGCGCUCUCAGUGAUGUGAAAAAUAAUACCUAGGUAGGUGGGAUGGGGGGCAGGGAAAAUAGUUGGAAGUUUGUUGCAUCUGUUUGGUCCGGAAGUGAUGGGGUUUGAAUCAAAGCAGUGUGAGUUCGUAUGGAAGAAGGCUCCUGGGAAUUAUAGUCUCUUGGGUCAGAAACGAUGUGUCCAGCUAAAAUUCAGGGUUUCACUUAGGAAGAAGAGGAGAAGUAAUAGUGGGGCGAGUAAGUCACGUUCUCUGCCAUUGUCAACAAGAAUUAGUCAAUGACACCAGAAAUAAUUUUUCCGCCCACCCUUCCCACAGUUGGGGCCUCUCCUAAACUGACGGUCUGGCCCAAUGUGACAACAUUUACAUUGGAGUGCUACAUGACCGUAAUUCCAAUGUUUUUAAACUUGGGGUUUGAAAGUUUGUCUUGGCAGAUUUCCCUCGGUUUGGGUUUGGUUUGUUUGGCUAGAAAGUGGCAUAUUCAGACAGGCUUAAAUCCCAACCGUAGCAAACACAAUCUUCGGCUUUUCGGAUUCUAUAGUUCAACACACCAGUGAUCCUAGGUAGACAGCUCUGGAUUACACUUGGGACGUGCUGGCAAGAUGUAGGAGUUAGGUCAUGAAUAUAGCAUCGUUGGCUGCCUGGCGGAGGGGUAGAAAGAAAAUCGUGUCUGGAGUCUGGAAACGUGGUGCAGGCCUGACUCUGCCACUUGCUUCUUGUUAUUCCCUAGAGGAAAAUACAUCAAAUGUAAGUUUUUGGAUACACUGCAAAAUAGUUCCAUUUUAGACAAACUUCCUAACCCAUCACCCACCCAUUUCUGUCUCAUUUCACGUUCACGAUCCAGGAGAUGUACACAGGUAAAGCAUACUUCUGCCUAGUGUCUGUAUCCUUUGCUUAUCUUCUUGACUAAAGCCGCCUUGUUGAUAAUUUAAAAUAUUUUCUGGGGAUUUAUAUGUAUAUGGUGUUCCUGGCUGAAAUAAAACGAUUACUGGCAUUUGAUAAUUUAAUGAAUCUUUAUUUUUCCUGGAACUGAGAACAUUGAUGUUGCAAGGGAAAUGAUUAUCAAUGUUUCAUUAAAAGAAAAUCCGGUAAUCAAAUAAAAUAUAGAAUGAAGAGAAGUGCAUAUAGCUCGGUGUACUGGAGGCACAUAAUGUCUUUCAGCAGAAAGACAUCUGUUAAGAAAAAAAUAACCAGCAGUUAUCACCCUGACGACUCUUUGGUCCAAAGGCGUCUAGGACUGAUAUAUGGACGUUAACAGCAAAGCUACUCUUGUCUUGCAGCUUGUAGAACUCUUCCGGAAGCUGGGAAGAUCAGUCAUCUCCUUUUCCUGGGUUGUGAGGAGUAAAUAAAACAGUGUAUAUAAAAGCAUAUUGGAUGUUCUAAGUAAAAUACAAAUGUUUAUGAUUAUUCUUCUCAUCCGAGGAGACAGAAUUUCCAUUAGUUAGAAGGGCUCUAAGUGGCUUCAGGAGGCUGUUUCUUGAAGCAGAGCUGGCCAUACGCAUAGAAUUUGGGGGUUUGACUCAUAGAUGAUACAAAUGGGUAACCUUGCUUCAAUUGCCCAAGGAAAGACAUCCGUCUCACUAAGGGGACUGGGUAAUGGGGCUAUAAAACACGCUUGUGGACGGGUCUAGUGAGAAAUAUGAAAGUUGAAAUGGACAAGGAAAAUUACCUAUUGCAGCCCAAGAUGCUUGCUUUAAAAAUUGCACAGGGGAUAUUGAUCUGAUCAAGAAUGGCAAGAAAAAUACAUGGGAGCUACAUAUAUGUGUAUAUAUACAUAUAUAUAUACACAUAUAUAUAUGUAUAUGCAUAUUAUAUUUAUCUCUGUGGCAGAGUCAAAAAGGAAAAAAAGAUUAGAAUCUGACAUAUAAAAUAACCCUACAAAUGUGAUUUACCCACAGAGCACUGUUUGUUUUUGAGUGAUUUAAUUAUGCAUUUAAUGCUACAUGCUAUGGUAUUCAUUUGAUAGGCGAUCUAACAUCCACAUAUAAACUGUAACUGUUAGGUCAUUGUAAUCAAUCCUCUGAAAUGAUACUAACUUAUUUUUUUCUCUGCAAGUUCUUCACAUACUCAGUACAUGCAAUUCGAGUUUAAAGGUUGCAUUUUCCUCUGGCAGUAACUGGUUUUUUUAGAAAAAUAUCUCAGGAAAUAUGCCCAUUUCUUUAUAAACAUUAUCUCUUUUUGUUCCCCCAAAGGAUCAAGUAAAGUGAGUACUGUCUCCACCCUCAGUUUGCAGGGGCAACUGAAUCUCAGGCAGUGAACCGAGCAUCCUCAGGUCACAUGGCUGGCUAUGCAGAACCAGAAGUGACCUUGGUCUGCCUGACAUCAAACCCCUGCUCUCAGGAAAUUUACCAUACUGACGCUAAGGGGAUGCUAUCAGCCUAAAGAGGAAUUUCUACACUAUCUGUGCGGUUUUGUUUUCAUUUUUAAAAUUUCCUGCCCAUUGAGGACUUUUAUUUUUGUAAAAUACCAUAUAAUGUUACAGCAAAGUCAAAUUGCUAUAAAAGUUUUGAAAUGCUUCACUUUCUACCCUUAACUCAUUAUAAUUUGAUCAUAAACUGUUCACAAACUGGUUCCAAUCUCCUUCCAGUAGCAUGGAAUUAUAUUCCAAUUUGGGAUUUCUUAGAUCUCACUUUCUAGAAGUUUCUGGUGUCAUUGAAUUCAAGAUGUGGAGAGAGUUUCCACAGCAAAGUGAUUAUUUUCAUCUUUCGUCAUAAAUGACAUCAAAUGUCUAAUAUAAUUUGAGACCACUAGGAAGUGUUAUUAUCAUAACCCCCAAAACAGCCCUCCCAGAGAAACCCUCUCGGUUUUAUGAGCUUUAUAUAUGGUGCAUUUUAAAACAGGGAAGUUUAUAAAAUGUUUCCGUUUUUGCUUAGAUAUGUUUUUCAUCAUUAUCCAAAAUGUUAUGGGGUGGCUUUAGGGUUUAUGAUAUUAUUUGUAACGGGACUAAGAAUCUGGCGUUUUAUGCUACAGUUGUGUUUCUUUCUUGAUUCUUAGAAUUCACUUUUCCUUCCAAUAACUUGACCAAAGUCUAAAGAUUUGGUAAGAUUCCCCUUCAUAUGAGGUGGACAAGCAAGAGGACUAAGUGUCUCUUUAGACAUGCCUACCAGGAUUUCUAGCAAGUCUAAAGUGAAACACGUCCAGCCGGCACUCUCUGGGUUUCCAUCUUGAAUUAGGUAAGUAUUGGCAAACAGAAAUGGUGCUGUUCUCUUUAACCAAAUAUAUUGGCUAAGAGAGGGUUAUCAUUUAUCUAACUCCAUCUGAGAUGGGCAAUCUUCUAUGACCACAGGGGACAGGAGGAAAUUUAAGGAGUGCAGACUUCUGGGAGUAAAACAAAAGAUCCCGGUGGGACCUCGGCUGAAUGGAAAGCACUUACCCCUGUGAAGGCAUUACGGUCAAUAUUGUAAAGCUCUGUAUGAAGCCAACAAAACAGUCUCUGGGCUGCCUUUCUACUUCCAUCCUCUGUCUACAUCAGCAGCGUGAAUGUUAUAAAGCUUUAAAAUACAAUAAAAGCUAAUUCCAAACCUUUCAGCUUCGUCCAAUAUAAAAAUGGUUUUAACUUUCUGAUUUAUAAGCUACUUAUACGGAUCUCCCCCCAGCAACUAACAUUCUCCUGGUUUUGAGGACCAGGUGGAGGAGAGGGGAGAAAAUGUAAAUAAGAAGCAGAAAAUGAACGCUGUGGCAGAGCCUCGAAUCCACUGAGGCUGGGGUGGUGGUUUGUGUGGGAGGGAGGUAGGGCGGCCUCACUGAGGACUGGCUUCGCAAGGGAGGCAUAAACCGAGUUGAAGGAGGGUUCUACUCCUGGCUAAGAUUCAGUGAAUUCGUACUGUGUGUCAAGCACUGUGCUAGGCGUUUUGCACGGGAUGUUCUCAUUCAUUACUUUCAACAACUUUAUUAAGUAGUUACUCUCAGUUUCUCCUGAGGUGAGCUGGGUUUUCACUAGGGGGGUUUAAGCACAUUUGGACUCUUUGAUACAUCGUUACCGUAUUUACACACAUAAUUCAUAACUUCUUAGAGCAAAUAUUGAGGAUGGAAGAGAGUUUUUAUGCAUUUUAAGUGUUCUUAUUUACCUAGAUAAUGACUUGUUUUGUGUUUAUUCCUCUAGUUGCUGUGAGAUCCUCCAGGGAAGGGCUUGUCUCUGUUCUCGUUGGAACCCAUGAGAACGUAUGCUUUGUGGGGGCGGAGGUUUUCCUGUCUAGUUCAUGGAUGUAUCCCUGUGAAUAGGGCAACAUCUGCCUCAUACCAGGAGCUCAGUGAACAUUUCCAAAUGAGCAAGUGGAAUUUCCAAAUGAAUUGUUCCCAUUUUACAGGUGAGGAUGGAAAGAUUUAGUAACCUGAUUAGGGUUACAUGACUCAGUCUGAAUAAAAACCACUGUUCUUACCAAUUAUGUUAAUCUUCAUGCAAUGAGGAAAAAUUCAUCAGAAUAAAUAUUCGUGUGAAUCUGGACUUGGGUAGAUGAUCCUGGCCUCAGCAAGGAGAAUGGUUGGCCAUAUGGGGUCUGGGGUAUGAUGGGCACUGAGCUAGAACUGAGUGACUCUAAUAAAAGAGAUGGCGGGAGAUCAGACAGACACACUUCAGGACACAUUGACAGUUGGGGAUAAGAGAAAGGUAGUCACAGAUGACCUUAAAGUUUCUAGAAUUGGAGACUGAAUUUUUGCAGAAGCGUUCAGAAAUUUCUUCUUCAUCCCUGACCGAAGACCAGGCCCCUCCUUGACUGUAUGACCUCUACAGCGGGAAUGCCAUGUAGGAAAGGAACAAAAGAAGGAAAUCUCCCCUGCCCGGCUGAGUCAAGCCUGAGAAUUGCAGGACUUGCAGGGGCUCGUCAUCCUCAUGGCCAGUUUGAGGAACGGGCGAGAAAAGAGAAUACAGAUGAACAGUUCCUCUCUUAGGGUAGCUCAGAGCAGCGGUCCUAACUCACCUUCCCACUCCAGCUCCAAGACAAGUACAGGUCUGCACCUGAGAAGAAGUUGACCCCAGUUACCCAUGUUCAUUCCACCUCUGAGGGUCAGCCUGUGUGUUCAUGGUGCUUUCCCUUCCUGUUGUUGUCGCUUUAAAACAUAUCAUCUUUCGGCUGGUCCAAGUGCGGUGGUGUUUCCAAUUAACUGAUCACAGCCAGUUACAGAUCUCUGUUUCUUCUCCACUCCUCCUGCUUUGCUUGACUAGCCUUAAAAAAACAAAAACAAAGACUAUAUCAUCUUUCACUUUUUAGCAGUUGUCUUAGAGUAACUCUCUUAUAAUGCAUGUUAGGUGUAUGUUUUGAUUUUUAGUAGGUCAUAAGCAAUUUAAAAAGACCAUAUUUUUUUUUAUCCUAUGUAUCUCUAUGUUUUGUAUCUCUUAGCAUUUGUACUACAGUCAUCAUAUGCCCUGCGUGCUCAAAUAAUGUUGUGACGAUACAGCAGUAAUAGCUUCUCAAUUGAAUAUUUAUUCAGUGAUGAUAGGUAGGUAGAUAGAUACAUAGAUAGGUAGAUAGAAAAAGAGAGAUGAUGGAUGGAUAAAGGGAGUUUAUAGACAGAUGACAGAUAAAUAGUGAUAGAGAGAGGAAGAGAGAGAGAGAGGCGAUAGAGCUCUCUAUGUUUGUGACACAGCUGGAUGGGUAGGUAAAUGAGAUAGCCCAGCAUGACCCUUCCCAGUGAGUAAUCCCUACCUGGCAGACAAUUAGCUACCUUUGAGGAGGUGACCUGUCUAUCUUUAAGACAGUAGGGAAUCAUUGCUGAAAAAAGGUGGACUUAUUCUUGUUUCUUAAAGAACAAACUGUUCUCCUAAGUGUGGGCAAUUUAUUUUCAGGGACUGGAUUACUCAUUGGAAGUAUGAGACACACAGUACACAUCUAUGAGCUGAUGUGGGGACACUAGACAAGAUAUAGUUUGGACUUUCUCAGAGCCUACAUUCUGGAAUGCACCUAUUUGAAAUUCACUGGAGCUUCUAACAAAAAAUAAUACGUAAUUAGGAGAUUUAGGGGUCAGAUUAAUGGUGUAACAGGACUGUCACAGGGUUCUGGGAAAUCUUCCUCUCUGCCUCUAACAAUUUUGUUUUGCUGAAGUAUUACUGAUUUAAUGUCAGGAUUGUCCUCCUCAAUCUGUCAGGAUCAGAGCUCUAUAUCACAUUGGAAUAUAAUAUGUAAUGAACCUUAAUGCCAGACGUGGCCUUUAUCACAAAAGCCUUAUGGACAUUGAAUUGUAGGAGAAUUUAUUUUAGAGAUAAUAUAAGCUCGAAAGCAUGAUUGUUUGCUAAAAACAUUAUAAUUCUAAGCUCAGUGAUACUUUAUGCCACUUAAUGGUUUUGGGAUUAUUUAUUAGGGCAUUUCAAGUUCACAGAAGUUUUAAGAGCCCAAAAAGUGUUUACUACGCUGUCAUCUCAAAAGCAAUAGAACUGAAAGCAAAAGGAAAUGCUUCAGCCACCUUCAUUAAGAAGUUUAUUGAACUGCUCAUUUCAACAGCAGGGUAUAAACAGAGAAAACAGCCUCUAGAAAUAAAUAUUAAAAGCUCAUCUCCAUAGACUUAUAGGAGAGAACAGAGAGCUAACAACCUUUGAUACAGCUUAGGAGACUAUUCCUCAGCUGGAAAUGCACCAAAGAAAACCUUUCUAAGAAAGAAUUUUUUUUUUUUUUGAGAACGAAACGGAAAUUUUCUGAAAGCCUAUUAAAACACUCAGUGUGAAAUAAUAGAAAAAAUUAAAGGAUGCGUCAUAAAAUAAUACAGACUACAAAAUCAGCAGGUUAUAACAGAAAAGGAAAAAUACCACCUCAGUCAUGUUAAUAAAAUGGGAAGUGAAAUUAAACACUAUAAAUAAGAUUUCCUAAGCCUUUAAAAAGAAAAUGUUUCAAAGGGAAUCCUUUUUCUGAGGCCCGUUUCAAAUAACUCCUCUUUCAAUGAAAUGCUAUCAUUCUGCAUCUCAGUCUGGCUUGGGGUCGUGACACGUGGGUUCUGGGCAGUGGUGUGGUAGAGAGAUCAGGGUUUUGCAUGGAAAUGAAAUCCGGUUCAGCUCCUGGUUCUAUUUGGUGUUAUACAGCCUUGGACUAUUACUUUGUCCCCAGGAUCUUGGAUUUGCUAUCUGCGGGUUGCAUGAGGCCCAUUUGGGCUGGUGAUGAGAGUGUGGGUUGUAAAAGUGGGGAGAUCCGAGUUGGAAUCUGCCAUUACAACAUUAUGGGCGAGCAAGUUAUCCUGUACAGAAGCCUGUCUCCUAAUCUGUGAGAAGGAUGCUUGCCAUUAGCACCUGGUACAUAGUGCUCAAUAGAUCGGGGUCAGUGUGGCAUUGGUGAUAGUGGCAGGAAAGAUUAAGUGAGACACUAAUACAAAGCUCUUGAAAUCUGGCAAGUUGUAGGUAAACAGGAAUUCUCUUUCUCUGUCCUACUAUGUUUAAGCAAGACAUAAGGUCCUUAAUGGCAAAGGCCAGCAGUUCCCAUCGUGCCUAUUACAUAAAAAUAUUUGGUUAGUAUCUGCUAAAUUAAUGACCAAUUGAGUAACCACACACAUGCUGUCUUUACGAUCGUGUAGUACCUUGGAGUGUCUGAUCCUUCUUGUGUCUUCCUUUGAAAAGCAGAGCAACCCCAUGAGCUAAGUAUCACUGCUAUAUUUUCCCCAUUUUUCAAACAUGGGUAGGGUUCAGAAAAGCUACUGUAUACUAACUGAGUGACAUAGCUGGUUAGUGGAUCCAGUAAUUCAGUGUGCUUUCUGUGAUCACACACAGAUUUCGGGGAAGUUCGAAAAUUCUGUACAGAGAAAUCGCUGCUCACACAUAAGAAACAGACCUCGUGUAGGAACACACCAAACUCCUCCAGAAAGAUAGUGUUGGGAAGCACAUAGCAUCGAUAGCACCACAUCCCUCUUUGGAGGAGCCCCUAGAGCUUCGUGGGCCACAGACAGCUUCCGAGGGCCAUCUUUUCCAAAGAUGCAGACAAACCCAGCGUGAUUCUGCUCACUUGGUACAAAACUGGAAAGAACAAAACACAGGGGAUCUGGAUGUUCCUUUAAUCGAUUUCGCACCUGGCCUCUAAAGUCAAACAAACGUUAUGAGGCCAAAAAAGUGCAAAAGAAUGGAAAGAGGAUGCAAAACAGAAAUGCUCCUAUUCACUGAAUUGAGCCACGAAGAGCAGACAAGGAUGUUCUCUCUCCUUUCCUCUCUCUCCUCUUCUUAUUAACCUUGUUCUUUUCAUGUUAAGUCAAUUUGCAGAAUUCCUGUCUCCUGACUCCCCACUUCCCUUCCUGUCUUAAGCUCUGAGGAUUAAUGUAGCUGGCGAUCAGAUCUGGGCAACCAAGGACCACAGGUGGCUUUUGCUUGUAAACAGAAAGCUAAGGUGGUUUUAUUGUUUAUAUGGAAGUCAUUGAGCAGAUCAGUGGGUGGAUUAACUAGAAACUCUUCUUCCUGGGAAAGGUCAGAUUUGUGCAAAUAGGGAGGGCUCCUUGCAAGCUUGCUCUUGCUGCCUGGAAAAGCCCACACCUGCCCGCCCUCACAUCUCCUGGGAUACAGGUCAUCACCCCCAUUUUAUUAAAGGUAAUUAAUAAUUAUGCUAUGGUGACUGCCUCUCUGAUACUCUUAAAAUGGAAACACCCAAGAGGGGAACACCGGGGCAAAAAGAUCUGGGAUUUAGAGAAUAUGUGAGAAAAAUCUUUAAAUUAAUUUCGAAUGAGGUAAUUAUUGCCCUAAAUAAAUGGUAUGGUCUGGAGUAUAGGGAACAUUUUUUUUCAGGUUGCUUGAGGUCCAUUCUUGAAUAGGUAAUACAAUUAUCCAGCAAGUGAGAUGCCAGGAGUCUGAUGAGGGGAACAGGAAAAUUGAGAACACCUUUCCAGACUCAAGGAGCAAUACGGCUGCCUUUUGAGCGGCAGGUAGUACGGUGGGAAGAAGGUACACUUGACCAAGACUGAGGCUUAGGUCAAAUGGACUUUCUUUUGAUCAGCUCUGUGGCUUUGGACAGCUUAUUCAAUCUCUUUUGCUUGCUGCAUAGGUGUGCGUGUUUGUGACAACAUGUACGCCAUAGGUCAUACCGCGUGUUCAGUAGAGAAGCUCUCCUUUGACUCCGGGCACACCUCCCAGGUUAGUCAUACCUCAUAAAAGCAUCAUUAUAUCCCGCUGCAGAAGGGGAUGUGUCCACAUCAUUCAUUUCAUCAGAUUUGCCAUUCCCAGAUUGUGUGACUGUGCGGUUCCCAAGGGAUGCGACAUGCUCGAACGUUCGUCAGUCUCGGCAGACUAGUCGUGAACUGAGCUGAACGGAACUCAAGGAACUCACUCUUAGCACUCAGAUCCACUACUAUCAGACACUCUCCACUUGACCAGUGCAGACAGUCAGAGAUGUCUUAGGAAACUUCAUCAACCAUUUGCCUGUGACCCUUGAUCCAAUGAACGGGCUAAUUGCCUAGCAUGUGAUCCUGAGAUGGCACGCAGAUAAUGACAGUGACGCUAAGGACGGCCCAAGAUAGUCGAUAAAGGCCCCGUUAGAAAUGCAAAGUGCAAAGAGCUAAGUGUUAGGAAACGGCAGAGAGGGCAAUGCAUUGUGCAAUGAUGACAGAAUCGAGCAUGUUUUCAUGCCACUAGAUCAAUCAGGAAGAAAAAUUGAAACAUUUUUAUAAAUGAACAAAUGAUAUGUAGGGAGCUUUCUGCUCUCAGACGGGAUCCUUCAACCUGGUGGAAGGGGCAUUCUGCAGAGCCCAUGCCUGGGGGCUCCAGACGGCCCCCCCUGAGGAUGGCAGGACACUGCUGAAGCUGACACGCUGAGAUCAAAGGACGCCCGGGGGUGAAAUAAGGCCUUUUGUUAGUGUCUGCCUUCCUGGGGCUGCGAGUAUAAACAAAGAUCAUGGCCUUCACAAAAGCACACUAUCCACCAGGACUCUGCAUACCCUGGAGUCAAAGAGUCCCCUGGAAUUGAAACUUCUCAGGGGUAUUAGAUCAAAAAAAACCAUCCCUAAAAUCCCUUCUCAGGUGUCUUUCUGUCCUAACAGGCUCCUCUGAAAAGGUAAUGAGGAAUUCUGUGUGCAAAUACAGCGUGUGGUUGAGCGCUGAAGAAAACCCAAACUGAGGUCCAGUGGUAAUUUAUCUGCAAACCUUUGUGCUGCACCCCCCCCCGCCCCUUCCUGCUUCUCUCUCUCCCUCCUUAGGUCCUCAAAUUGGAAUGAGUUCCUUUUGUUAAGGAGGACGUAAUUCCAACAUUCCUGCCCAUUUCGGGAGAGCAUCGGGCCUGAUCUUGUCUCUGCACACGUAGGGCACCCACUGACUCCUGAGUGCUGAGCUCCCGUCUCCCGGCGCGGGGGCCGAGCAGGUGCAAGACCGGCUGCCUUUCCUCUAGAACUCUCUGUGGUCUGCUCGUCCGCAACGAGAGCUCUACCCUAGACCUUGGCUGGUAAGUAGCUAUAAUUUUCCAUCUGUGGCAACGGUAUACAUGUUCUUGACUCCUUGGAUUUUUCUGGAAAAGCAUUUUGAGUCUUCUCAUCUCUGCCACUGUGAUUCUCAAACAUGAACAUACUGUUGAAAAUGCCAAUUCCUUAAAUUUAAGAUUUUAGUAAUGUGGUUCGGUGAGUCAGUAAGUAGCCACAGAACCUGUAUUUUUAGAAACAUUCUAAGUGAGGGUAAGCCAGGCUGUCUGCACGCCGCACUGAGAAAUAACUCUCCUAUACUGUUUGCCAGGGCUUGCUUCUCUAGCCCACAUUCUUGCCUAUCUGUGCUGAUGAUAUCCGAUUUGCCCAGCCUUCUGUGGUCUUCCAGAACCUAUGCUCUCAAUGACCUGCCUUCUGCCAGGCUUCUCUGACUCAGCUAUACUUUUGGUUCUGGUCACGUCUGGCAAAAGAAGCUGAUACUCCAGGAUAAAGUUUUGUGUUUUCUGCCCUGUCAUAUAGAUAAGACAGAGAACAGAAAAAAAUGGAAGGUAACCAGGUUUUUGGGACGGUGGUUUUUCUCCCCUGCCUCCUGUCCUCAUUCAUAGAAGCAGUCGUACCUGAACAUGUCCACCAAAAUGCAUAGAAGUCGUUCAGGAAGAGAAGGGACAUCCAGAGAACACAGACCACAACUGAAAUGGAGUCACAUAUGUCAAGGACAAAAUGGAGACAGCUAAUGCAGGUGAUGAAGGAAACCUAACCCAACCUCCAAGGAAGUUACAACCCUUCUCAGAAAUUAGCAGAGGACAUCAGCCAAUUCCCAAAUGUCAAGUCUGUUCAUGCCAUUACUGGACUUCCUUCUUCAUCUGACAGCUAAUCUGAUCUAAAAUAAGAAAGAAGAUCAUUAGGAAACCAAUCAGCUGAAAAAACCAAAUCACCUCCUUAUUUAUCCCAUAAGAAUCCCUUAGUCUGUGAGCAACUUAAAACUCAUCGUUCCUAUAGCCUUGAGUUUCUUGGUUUACAGAUUGAAACCAUUACAACAAACUAAUCUUUCUGCUUUGUUUUAUUUAGUGUCCAAAGUUUGGUUUUUGACAAUGUCAAAUUCACCAUCAUUUGGGGAUGCCAAGAAACAAGUAAAAUUGAAGACCAUUCUAAACUGAGAUUUCCAGCUGGCAACAAAUACUAAAGAUGUAUCAGUUUACCUGGAGUACAUGGUCUCUACUUUUCCGUACACAAAAUACCAGCUGUUCAUUCACCCUUACCAUGGUUUUGUGAAAGUUGUGAAAUAGUACAAUUUUUUUGAAGUCUCUUCAAGAAGUAACUCAGCCUUCCAGGUAAGCUUUCUGUGAGACUCUGCAGUGUGGUCUGCUCGAGGCCCUUCAGGACUCCCUGCUCAUGGCUGGGCCUGAGCUAUAGGGGAGAGCCAGCAUGUCUGCACCUCACGUCCAUGGCUGUUGUAGAAGUUAACUUACGCUGAGCAAGGCCUCCUCGUCUGUGGUCCAGCUUCAUGCCAUAGUGAGAAGAGCAAGGCUGGAAAUCCAGGACAUCCUGAGCCUAGAUCCCAAGCCCAUAUCUUGCUGGGUCUGUGGUCUAAGGAGGCAAUGUGUUCUUCACUGCUCUGACAUCCAGUGUCCUGAUCUCAAAACUUGGUGAAAGAAUCCCAGCCUUGCAAGAUUAUUUUAAGCGUUAGAGAAAACACAUUAAAAAGGUUCUGGCACACAGUAGUUUCUCAAUAUAAAGUGAGUAUUAUUAUGAUUUUUGUUGCUAUAUUAUUAUAAGACUAUUUUAAACCACAUUCAAUUUCCGUAUUGGAAGAAUAUUGUCAUUUAAAACACUAUAUUAAUGUAUUUUAAAAUGCCAGCUGCUAAGUAUUUAGGGCCCGGUAGAGCUAUUAAUAUACAUAGAAUGGCAGAGGUUCAUAAGGUCCAGACACCAGUUUGAAAGAGUCCAGAGAGACUGAAAUUUAAAAGGAGGAAAACGAGCUGGGGGAAAGGACCGUGAGCUCUUUACAUCAUCUUCAAAAUGACAAGAAUAAGAACAACUAACAUGCAGUAAGCAUGGUGUACCAGGCAUAACUUUACCUGCAUUGUGACAUUAUUUCAUCAUUGCAGACAUCCUAUAUUGUGGCUUCUAUUGUUAUAUCCACUUUACAGAUGGAAAAACUGAGGCACUGAAAAGUCAGCUUAUUCAGUGUGAUGGUGAACAAAAAGAAUAAAGUCCUUAAUCUCAUCACUUACAUUAUGUUGGAACAUAAAGACAACAAAUACACAGACAAAAAAAUACAUAAAAUAUUUGGAGAAGAUAAGUGCAAGAAAGAAGGAAGCAGAAUAAGGGCUCGGAGUUGAAGAGGGUUCUAGCAGAACUGGGCUGGCUGCGAUGCCUGUCCUUCUGCCAAGAUGGUGCUUGAGUGAAAGCAAGGGGCUACGCGAGGGACAAGUUGAGCUCUGGAGGAAGAGCAGUGUGGCCAAGGGAAGGAUGAGAGCAAACAUCCAGGAGCAUCUGGAGAGAGCAAGCAAGAGGCGGUAGCAAAGACAGAGGAGAAACCAGAGGAGACAAGGAGCCCCAUCACAGAGAUCUGUAAGUUCAUGGAAGAACCGGAGUUCCAUUUUGAGGGAGAUGGUGAGCCAUUGAAGUCUUGAGCAGAAUGGAGAAUGAACCCCACUUUGAAAGACAGCUGGGUCUGUAUGAUAUGACAGUGGUGGAUGCAUGUCAUUGUCCAUUUGUUGGAACCCAUAGCAGGUACAACACCAAGAGUGAGCCCAAAUAUAAACUGUGGACUUUGGAUGAUGAUGAUGGAUCAAUGUAGGUUCAUCGAUUACAACAAAUGGACCCCUCUGGUGGGCAUAUUGACAGUGGGGGCUGUGUUGUGUCAGGUGGUGGGAGGUUUAUGGGUAAUCUCUGUAUUUUCCACUUAAUU